rnacentral:rRNA from 1 species
GAGAAUCUUCCGCAAUGCGCGAAAGCGUGACGGAGCGACGCCGCGUGCAGGAUGACGGCCUUCGGGUUGUAAACUGCUGUCACUCGGGAAAAAUAAUGAUUGUACCGAGAGAGGAAGCCACGGCUAACUACGU